rnacentral:lncRNA from 1 species
GUCAGGUCCAUGACACGGGACUCUGGAGAGUGGCGCCUGGCGGACAGAAAGCUUGUAUAAGUGAGGGCGGCUAGCAAGGCAGUGGAACCAAAAGCAAGCGUCUCUUCACAGUUCCCAUGGGUCAGUCUUAAGACCAUAACAGAUGGCUGUGUCGGUGUUCACAUCAAUUGGUUUGAGAUGUUUGGCCAUAUUAAUCGGAUCAUUUACAUUUUGCUUACUUUUAUGUGCUUUAUUUUCCAUUUCUAAGAAAGAAGAAUUACCACAUCAAAGCCUGCAACUCUCCUCAAUCGUGACAAAAAUUUGAAUUCAGUGUUUGAAGAACAGGAAAAGUGAAGAGGAGGAAAAUAGUCAUAGAUUUUCUGGUCACUAACUGCAUUCUGUUGCGCUGGUCACUAAAACCAUCUGACCGUUAUUUUCCUAAUGUGUAACUUGAGAAUGUAGAAUUAAAUAUUCAUUGAAUUCCCUUCAAAUUUCAUAGUGAUUUUCAUUAAAUAUAUGAUGUUUGGGGGUAAAUAUAAACAGCAUGGGUAGGUAAGGCCUACCUUUACUUCCUCCUGAGCUAAUUUAGCAAUAACUUUUCUAAAAUAAAGAGAUUUGCUUUUCCCCCCCUUCA